CCCUUAGAUGUUCUGGGCCGCACGCGAGCUACACUGACGAAUGCAACGAGCUUAUAACCUUGGCCGAAAGGUCUGGGUAAUCUCCAAAUUUCGUCGUGAUGGGGAUAGAUUAUUGCAAUUAUUAAUCUUCAACGAGGAAUGCCUAGUAAGCGCAAGUCAUCAGCUUGCGUUGAUUACGUCCCUGCCCUUUGUACACACCGCCCGUCGCUCCUACCGAUUGAAUGGUCCGGUGAAGCGUUCGGACCGUGGCCUUUGGACGGUUCGCCGUCUGUUGGCUGCGGGAAGUUCGUUAAACCUUAUCAUUUAGAGGAAGGAGAAGUCGUAACA
rnacentral:rRNA from 1 species